rnacentral:rRNA from 1 species
AUUGAACGCUGGCGGCAGGCCUAACACAUGCAAGUCGAGCGAGCGGCGGACGGGUGAGUAAUGUCUGGGAAACUGCCUGAUGGAGGGGGAUAACUACUGGAAACGGUAGCUAAUACCGCAUACUAUCAGAUGUGCCCAGAUGGGAUUAGCUAGAAGGUGGGGUAACGGCUCACCUAGGCGACGAUCCCAAGCUGGUCUGAGCGGUUGACCAGCCACACUGUAACGGAGACACGGUCCAGACUCCUACGGGAGGCAGCAGUGGGGAAUAUUGCACAAUGGGCGCAAGCCUGAUGCAGCCAUGCCGCGUGUAUGAAGAAGGCCUUCGGGUUGUAAAGUACUUUCAUCGGGGAGGCGUUACCCGCACAAGAAGCACCGGCUAACUCCGUGCCAGCAGCCGCGGUAAUAC